CAGAUGUCAAUCAAUCAGUGCACACGUGGGGUCAAGGGCUCACUCAUCUCUCAAGCUCCACGUUGCCCACGCCUCACUGACACUGCACUUUUUGGCGGAAUAGGUGGCCCCUGCAAAAAAGGAAAAUGAAAUGCAACUACAACAAAAUGUGGGAAAAUAUUUGUCCUCCCAUGAAGCCGGCAUAGGGCGAUAUCCAAUAAGUUUUUGUUGACACUUGCCAGAGUUUGCGUCAAUCAUCAUGGAGACUGUGGAGAAUGUGACUCAAAGCGGCUCUAUACAUGUGGGACUCCCAAGAAACGCCAUAAAAGAGGAUUGCUAAACAGAUAAGCUCCAAUUCCUGCUAAAAUCUUAAGACUUGAAAUCACCAAUGAACAAAAACAGGAGCACAUCAAGACCUUGUUCUUUCACCUGCUGUUCAACCAUGCACUGCUGCAGGGGACUUGUUGUUCGACAGAUUUUGCCACCAGUUCCAGCUGUUGUGAACUGCAUUGAGUGCAUGUAGUCAUCUCAGCAUAGUACUCGGUGGUGCCACAGCUUCAGCAGCUUCAGAGGACCUGAGAAGAAAAUAUCAAACUGAAAACAAAGCCAAGGGCAGCAGGGACCCAAAUGAGGACUCCUGAAAAAGAAUGGGAUAACCUGAGAGAACAGCGCUCUAAGGAUCCCCGUGGAGCUUCCUUCAGAAGAAUCCUAAUAUCAAAUAUCAGUGCGAUGACCAAGUUCAGGGCCUGCUGCAGCUCGGUGCUGGAGCUCGGAUCAAUGGAACACUGUUGGGAAUACAACGGACCACACCCACAAACUGAUCAGAGCCUCUGAUUGGAUCUCAUGAGAAUGUCUUGACUUCUACCCAGGCUUUCAUGCAAAUUGAUGAAGGUAAUUUUAGCCCCCUUAAGUGAAAUUUGAUUCGCGUUAAGAGCUCUUGCUGCUUUUUCUUAAUGUAAAUCAGUUUUGAUUAAUAGUGUGGGAGUCCGGGGAGAAAUAUUAUCAAGUGCAGCAGUCUAAUGUAUCUCUCCAAUGGAGGAGUGGUGCUGCUGUUUGUCAUGUGAGUUUAAUACAGUUUGUUCAGACAAGGAAAGAAAGUUCUUCAGAAAACACUCCACCAAAAAAAAGGGCAUUUAUAUGUUGACGAUCCUCGACUAUCAAUCCCUGUCCUUAUUUGCUGAAACCCAUCUUACAGUAAUCACAAAAACCUUCCUUUGUGAGACCUGUAGUUCAACUAAUUUGUGCUUUGGAACGAGGGAAAUAAAGUGUAAUGACACACUGGAAAAAAACAAAAACAGACACUUACACUUUUAGAGAUUUCUUCAGUUCACUCUCCACCAAAAGAGUUUAUACACAGACCAUCUUCGAUUAAUGUUGCACUUAAAAACAGCGAAAACUCAAACACACUCACACACACUAUCAGAAGGAAACAGUUUUUAUAAGUCUACUCUCAAACAAAACAGAUAACUUUAUACAUCAAUAAUCCUUGAACUCAGUUUAUUAAACACCAUGAAACUGUCUUUAUUAUCUCAAUUGAAAUUUUUUAACAACUGCUUGUAUAGGUGAAGUUCUAUACAUACCAAAGCCAUUCCAAUCUCAGGCCUAUAGGUUAUUUAACACAUGCUUUGAACAGGGAGAAAUAUACCGGAGAGGUGCACUGAAAAAUAACAGUGAAAAUCAUGAACACACUCUGUCAUACACCAAAACUAAAAUUUUAUCAGCAAACAAGUCCUGCUAUACCAUUGUAUCCACCUACCCAGACUGUUGCCGUUACGUGCUCCCCUAAAUGUCUGCAACACUUCACCUCACCUCCUCAGAGCGGCACAGUGCUGCACCCUGGCUAAAUGAAAAACAAUCUAAGGAAGCAGGGAACAAUCCUCGGCAGGCUCCAGCGAGCUGCCAUAAAAAAGGAGUGGGCCGCCUCUCUCCAGCCUCUCCCCUCGUGCCUUCAACUUUAACUCUAUGGGCUGAUGAAAGAUCAAUGGGCCGACCGGGCCGGGCCGCUGCUGUGCCUGCUGUCCGCCACUGCACCAGGAAGCAAGCCAAUUACAAAAUAGGGGGAAGAAUGGAAAGAAAAUCAGUCUUUGUAAAUGCAAAGUGAGUGAUUGGAUGAGUAGUUUUAUGUACAUGUGUCUCUAAUCCAGCCUUCGGUGGCCAUUUUUAAAAAGUUUGGAUGUUCCCAGCCUAAGGCUCAUAUUCCAAACUCAUUUUAACCCUGAUUUCUCCCCCUACCUCACCCUCUUUAACACCCCUUUAACCCUCCUCUCACUCCCCCCUACCGCCUCCUGACUCCAGAUCUGUACCCGCUAACCAGACCUCUCCUCCGGAUCACCGGCAGCAGUAAAUGGGGGUUGGCGCUAGGGGGGUUUGGUGCAAACACGCAGCAGCAGCAGACAAACAAAUCAUGUUAAGUCUCUGCUGCCACGGCUGGCAGCGCACUCAAAGGGGCAGCCGGUGCCCUGCCAGGGAGGAGGGUGCACCCAUUUUCCCAGGGAGGGGGUGAGGGUGAACACGAGGGGAGGGGAAUGGGAGGCCUGGUCCUUAUCGAGCCCCGGAUCACAGACACCUCCGCCCCUCCUGGCAGGAAUGCACACAGCCCCUGUGGGAGGAGAGACGAAGAGAAGAAGAAGAAAGGAGGAGGAGGAGGAGGGGGUGGAGGAGGAGGAGGAGGAAACAAGCAGACAUCAAGAGGGGAAGUAAAAAGAGGAAGAAAAAAGAGUGAGUGAGGGGGAAAGUGAGUGACAGACGCAGAGAAAGAACUACCCCAGCUUAUAGGAGAGGGAGUGUCUCUGGACAUACACACACGCACAAAAACACACCAAUCACAGCACUCAACACACUCUGUCUGGAUUGAGAGCACCACUGGGAGAGCACGUAGGAAAACAAACAGGGCAUUAGGCUGCUUAAAUACCAUACUAAACGUGCAACUGUGGUCAUCAUUACCUCGGCUCAGUCACACUUUGAAUGUGUGUGUGUGUCACAGAUGACAGCUGGGGGAGAUCAGACGGCCAAUCAUGUGUUCAGAGGUAUUUAAAAUGAUGUGUAAUGGUCAAAAGUCGUUGCACGUUUGGGAAACUUCAGUGUCUGAGUCAUUCAUAUAAACUAAGAGAGAAUAAAAAACAUGUCGUAAUAAAAGAUAUACCGAAAGA